GUCUGUGUGUGUGUAUGUGUCAGUAUGUCUGUGUGUGUGUAUGUCAGUGUGUCUGUGUGUGUAUGUCAGUAUGUCUGUCAUAGACACACACAGACAUACUGACACAGACAUACUA